AAAGUAAGCGUAGGUAGUUGCAAAUUUUUCACAAAUUUGAGGAAAGUCCGGGCUCUAUUUAGAGAAUUAUAGCUGUGAGAAACAACAGUGUAAGCAAUUAUGAGGAUAGUGCCACAGAAAUAGACCGCCUAUUAUAGGUAAGGGUGCAAAGGUAGAUUAAAAGCCUACCAGCAAUAUUAUUGAAAUAUUGGUUAGGUAAACCCCUUAAUAGAGCAAAGUAAUCAGUGUUUUUAAUGAUAUUUCUCUAGAUUUUCAUUAAUUAUUAAUAGCUGCUAAAAAAUUCUGCAAGAAGUUGUUAUGUAAACUCCAGAUUAAUAACUACCCUUUCUAUAGCUAUUUUGUACGAAUAUUUAUAUUAAGAACAAAAUCCGGCUUAUGUCUUACUUUUUAA
rnacentral:RNase_P_RNA from 1 species